rnacentral:rRNA from 1 species
GAUAAACGCUGGCGGCGUGCUUAACACAUGCAAGCCGAACGAAGUUUUUCCUUCGGGAGAAACUUAGUGGCGGACGGGUGAGUAACGCGUGGGUAACCUGCCCUGUACAGGGGGACAACAGCUGGAAACGGCUGCUAAUACCGCAUAAGCCCUUAUCACUGCAUGGUGCAUAGGGAAAAGGAGCAGUCCGGUACAGGAUGGACCCGCGUCUGAUUAGCCAGUUGGCAGGGUAACGGCCUACCAAAGCUACGAUCAGUAGCCGAUCUGAGAGGAUGUACGGACACAUUGGGACUGAGACACGGCCCAGACUCCUACGGGAGGCAGCAGUGGGGAAUAUUGCACAAUGGAGGAAACUCUGAUGCAGCGACGCCGCGUGAGUGAAGAAGUAUUUCGGUAUGUAAAGCUCUAUCAGCAGGGAAGAAAAUGACGGUACCUGACUAAGAAGCACCGGCUAAAUACGUG